GACGAACGCUGGCGGCGUGCUUAACACAUGCAAGUCGAACGGAAAGGCCCUGCUUUUGUGGGGUGCUCGAGUGGCGAACGGGUGAGUAACACGUGAGUAACCUGCCCUUGACUUUGGGAUAACUUCAGGAAACUGGGGCUAAUACCGGAUAGGAGCUCCUGCUGCAUGGUGGGGGUUGGAAAGUUUCGGCGGUUGGGGAUGGACUCGCGGCUUAUCAGCUUGUUGGUGGGGUAGUGGCUUACCAAGGCUUUGACGGGUAGCCGGCCUGAGAGGGUGACCGGCGAGAUUGGGGGGGGGGUACGGGCCAGAGGGCUACGGGGGGCAGGAGUGGGGAAUAUUGCAGAAUGGGCGGAAGCCUGAGGCAGCGACGGCGGGUGGGGGAGGAGGGCCUUCGGGGUGUAAACCGCUGUCGCCUGUGACGAAGCGUGAGUGACGGUAAUGGGUAAAGAAGCACCGGCUAACUACGUG
rnacentral:rRNA from 1 species